UACGUAGGGUGCGAGCGUUGUCCGGAAUUACUGGGCGUAAAGAGCUCGUAGGUGGUUUGUCGCGUUGUUCGUGAAAACUCACGGCUUAACUGUGAGCGUGCGGGCGAUACGGGCAGACUGGAGUACUGCAGGGGAGACUGGAAUUCCUGGUGUAGCGGUGGAAUGCGCAGAUAUCAGGAGGAACACCGGUGGCGAAGGCGGGUCCU
rnacentral:rRNA from 1 species